rnacentral:rRNA from 1 species
UACGGAGGGUGCAAACGUUGCUCGGAAUCAUUGGGCGUAAAGCGCACGUAGGCGGCCCAGCAAGUCGGGUGUGAAAGCCCUCGGCUUAACCGAGGAAGUGCAUUCGAAACUACUGAGCUUGAAUACUGGAGAGGAUCGCGGAAUUCCCGGUGUAGAGGUGAAAUUCGUAGAUAUCGGGAGGAACACCAGUGGCGAAGGCGGCGAUCUGGGCAGAUAUUGACGCUGAGGUGCGAAAGCGUGGGGAGCAAACAGG